rnacentral:rRNA from 1 species
GACGAACGCUGGCGGCGUGCUUAACACAUGCAAGUCGAACGAUGAAGCGGUGCUUGCACCGUGGAUUAGUGGCGAACGGGCGAGUAAUACGUGAGUGACCUACCUUUGACUCUGGGAUAAGCCUGGGAAACUGGGUCUAAUACCGGAUACGACCAAUCUCUGCAUGGGGUGUUGGUGGAAAGCGUUAUGGAGUGGUUUUAGAUGGGCUCACGGCCUAUCAGCUUGUUGGUGAGGUAAUGGCUUACCAAGGCGACGACGGGUAGCCGGCCUGAGAGGGUGACCGGCCACACUGGGACUGAGACACGGCCCAGACUCCUACGGGAGGCAGCAGUGGGGAAUAUUGCACAAUGGGCGCAAGCCUGAUGCAGCGACGCCGCGUGAGGGAUGACGGCCUUCGGGUUGUAAACCUCUGUUAGCAUCGAAGAAGCGAAAGUGACGGUAGGUGCAGAGAAAGCGCCGGCUAACUACGUGCCAGCAGCCGCGGUAAUACGUAGGGCGCGAGCGUUGUCCGGAAUUAUUGGGCGUAAAGAGCUUGUAAGCGGUUGGUCGCGUCUGCUGUGAAGGCCGGGGCUUAACUCCGGUUUUGCAGUGGGUACGGGCUAACUAGAGUGCAGUAGGGGAGACUGGAAUUCCUGGUGUAGCGGUGGAAUGCACAGAUAUCAGGAGGAACACCGAUGGCGAAGGCAGGUCUCUGGGCUGUAACUGACGCUGAGAAGCGAAAGCAUGGGGAGCGAACAGGAUUAGAUACCCUGGUAGUCCAUGCCGUAAACGUUGGGCACUAGGUGUGGGGGACAUUCCACGUUUUCCGCGCCGUAGCUAACGCAUUAAGUGCCCCGCCUGGGGAGUACGGCCGCAAGGCUAAAACUCAAAGGAAUUGACGGGGGCCCGCACAAGCGGCGGAGCAUGCGGAUUAAUUCGAUGCAACGCGAAGAACCUUACCAAGGCUUGACAUGCAUUAGAUCGCGUCAGAGAUGGCGUUUCCCUUCGGGGCUGGUGUACGGGUGGUGCAUGGUUGUCGUCAGCUCGUGUCGUGAGAUGUUGGGUUAAGUCCCGCAACGAGCGCAACCCUCGUUCUAUGUUGCCAGCGGUUCGGCCGGGGACUCAUAGGAGACUGCCGGGGUCAACUCGGAGGAAGGUGGGGAUGACGUCAAAUCAUCAUGCCCCUUAUGUCUUGGGCUUCACGCAUGCUACAAUGGCCGGUACAGAGGGUUGCGAUACUGUGAGGUGGAGCUAAUCCCUUAAAGCCGGUCUCAGUUCGGAUUGGGGUCUGCAACUCGACCCCAUGAAGUCGGAGUCGCUAGUAAUCGCAGAUCAGCAACGCUGCGGUGAAUACGUUCCCGGGCCU